rnacentral:rRNA from 1 species
UACGUAGGGGGCUAGCGUUGUCCGGAAUCAUUGGGCGUAAAGCGCGCGUAGGCGGCCCGGUAAGUCCGCUGUGAAAGUCAAAGGCUCAACCUUUGAAUGUCAGUGGAUACUGCCGGGCUAGAGUCCGGAAGAGGCGAGUGGAAUUCCUGGUGUAGCGGUGAAAUGCGCAGAUAUCAGGAGGAACACCGAUUGCGAAGGCAGCUCGCUGGGACGUAACUGACGCUGAGACGCGAAAGCGUGGGGAGCAAACAGG